rnacentral:rRNA from 1 species
AUGGCGAUUAGUAAGAGAAAUGCAAGCCUUUUAUGCUUCACAGCCCUCAUGUUGGUGAUGGCCACUUUGAUGUUGCCUUGUUAUGCUGACCGAAAAGAAUACUGUGGGUGGAUUAAAGAUGGAUGCACCUAUCACAAGUGCAAGGAUUGGUGCGCUGGACAGGGUUACCCCAAGAGAUUUAAGUGUGUGGACGCCGAGAAUUGCUGCUGUUUGCUUACCGCCAAGCCCGGGGUGGAUGUCAUCCAUCGUUAUGAUUGA